UGAGCAACCUGCCCUUGACCCCGGAAUAACAGUUGGAAACAGCUGCUAAUACCGGAUACGACCUCUUCCGACAUCUGGAGAGGUGGAAAGCCCUGGCGGUCAAGGAUGGGCUCGCGGCCUAUCAGCUUGUUGGUGAGGUAACGGCUCACCAAGGCUUCGACGGGUAGCCGGCCUGAGAGGGCGACCGGCCACACUGGGACUGAGAUACGGCCCAGACUCCUACGGGAGGCAGNAGUAGGGG
rnacentral:rRNA from 1 species